CCUACGGGUGGCAGCAGUGGGGAAUAUUGCGCAAUGGGCGAAAGCCUGACGCAGCGACGCCGCGUGAGGGAUGAAGGUCUUCGGAUCGGAAACCUCUGUCAGCAGGGAAGAAAGGUCACGGGGCUAAUCAGCAGUGAAUGGACGGUACCUGCAAAGGAAGCACCGGCUAACUCCGUGCCAGCAGCCGCGGUCAGACGGAGGGGGCGAGCGUUAAUCGGAAUUACUGGGCGUAAAGCGCUCGUAGGCGGUAUGUCAAGUCAAGGGUGAAAUCCCCGCUCUCCACGUGGGAACUGCCUUUGAACCUGGCAACCUGGAGUGUGUGAGAGGAUAGUGGACUUCCAGGUGUAGGCGU
rnacentral:rRNA from 1 species